rnacentral:rRNA from 1 species
ACCGAUAGCGAACAAGUACCGUGAGGGAAAGUUGAAAAGCACUUUGAAGAGAGAGUUCAAGAGUACGUGAAACCGUUUAGGGGUAAACCUGAGAAACCCGAAAGGUCGAAGGGAGAAAUUCAUUCGCGUUUCGCAGUCGGCGUGAGGCGAUCGAGUGACGGAAUGCGUCUUCGGAUGUUUUCUGCACCUUUUGUUUUUCGAUCCGAUAGCGAACGCGUGCACUUUUCUCCUGGUAGGACGUCGCGAUCCGUUGGGUGUCGGUCUACGGCUCACGGUGGAGCCCGGAUGUACGGCUUGCCGUCACGUCCGGACCCGUGUGUCCCGGCUGACUCGCUCGACGGUAUACGAAAGGUUUAAGGCCGCUCUCGCGAGCGUUCGGCUCGUCGCAAGCGCGUUAAAUGUGUCGGUGA